CACCCCCCCCCCCCCACCCAAUGAAGUGCUGGAAACACAAUACAACACAAGCUCAGGGGAUGUGUGGUUUGACUCCGGUCCUUAUGAUGGCAGUGGUCAGUUUAGAUUGAUGUUGAAUGUUGGGAACUCCACUGUGGACUGUGUGGAUUAUUUCUCUUAUAAACCUGAUCCUGAAUUCACUGGAUUCACCACCGUACAGGUGGCCAAUGAUCUACAGGUGAACAUUCAGAAAAAGGAAGAUAUGUUGAAUUUGAGUAUGAAUGAGGUGACUGUGACGGAUCUACAGGGAGAUCAGAAGUAUCCAUGUGUUUUGGAAAGGAUUGAGUCCAAUGCCAUCAUCUGUAUGAUUACAGGAGAAUCAGGAGCCGUCCCAGCA